rnacentral:rRNA from 1 species
GACGAACGCUGGCGGCGUGCCUAAUACAUGCAAGUAGAACGCUGAAGGAGGAGCUUGCUCUUCUGGAUGAGUUGCGAACGGGUGAGUAACGCGUAGGUAACCUGCCUGGUAGCGGGGGAUAACUAUUGGAAACGAUAGCUAAUACCGCAUAACAGUAGAUGUUGCAUGACAUUUACUUAAAAGGUGCAAUUGCAUCACUACCAGAUGGACCUGCGUUGUAUUAGCUAGUUGGUGGGGUAACGGCUCACCAAGGCGACGAUACAUAGCCGACCUGAGAGGGGGAUCGGCCACACUGGGACUGAGACACGGCCCAGACUCCUACGGGAGGCAGCAGUAGGGAAUCUUCGGCAAUGGACGGAAGGCUGACCGAGCAACGCCGCGUGAGUGAAGAAGGGUUUCGGAUCGUAAAGCUCUGUUGUAAGAGAAGAACGAGGGUGAGAGUGGAAAGUUCACACUGUGACGGUAUCUUACCAGAAAGGGACGGCUAACUACGUG